rnacentral:rRNA from 1 species
CCUACGGGGGGCAGCAAUUAGGAAUCUUGCGCAAUGGGCGAAAGCCUGACGCAGCGACGCCGCGUGGAGGAUGACGGCCUUCGGGUUGUAAACUCCUUUUAAGAGGGACGAAGAUCUGACGGUACCUCUUGAAUAAGCCCCGGCUAACUACGUGCCAGCAGCCGCGGUAAUACGUAGGGGGCGAGCGUUGUCCGGAUUUACUGGGCGUAAAGCGCGCGUAGGCGGGCCUUUAAGUCGGGGGUGAAAUGCCGAGGCUUAACCUCGGAACUGCCUUCGAAACUGGAGGUCUUGAGGUGCGGAGAGGGAAGUGGAAUUCCUGGUGUAGCGGUGAAAGGCGUAGAUAUCAGGAGGAACACCCGUGGCGAAGGCGGCUUCCUGGCCGUGUCCUGACGCUGAGGUGCGAAAGCUAGGGUAGCGAACG